rnacentral:rRNA from 1 species
UACGUAGGGGGCAAGCGUUGUCCGGAGUUACUGGGCGUAAAGCGCACGCAGGCGGUCUGUUAAGUUUGGAGUGACAGUUGGUGGCUUAACUGCCAAAGUGCUUCGAAAACUGAUCGACUUGAGGGCUUCAGAGGGACACGGAAUUCCGGGUGGAGUGGUGAAAUGCGUAGAGAUCCGGAGGAACACCGAAGGCGAAGGCAGUGUCCUGGGGAGUACCUGACGCUCAGGUGCGAAAGCCAGGGGAGCGAACGGGAUUAGAUACCCCGGUAGUCCUGGCCGUAAACGAUGACCACUAGAUGUGUGGGGUAUCGACCCCCUACGUGUCGUAAGCUAACGCGAUAAGUGGUCCGCCUGGGGAGUACGGUCGCAAGAUUAAA